UACGGGGGGGGCUAGCGUUGUUCGGAAUUACUGGGCGUAAAGGGCGCGUAGGCGGCCUACUAAGUCGGACGUGAAAUCCCUCGGCUCAACCGGGGAACUGCGUCCGAUACUGGUGGGCUCGAAUCCGGGAGAGGGAUGUGGAAUUCCAGGUGUAGCGGUGAAAUGCGUAGAUAUCUGGAGGAACACCGGUGGCGAAGGCGGCAUCCUGGACCGGUAUUGACGCUGAGGCGCGAAAGCCAGGGGAGCAAACGGG
rnacentral:rRNA from 1 species